UUUGGAUACUUUUCAUUUAUCUUUAUCUUGUAAUCCUUAUAUAAAGGAACCUUUAUUGAUCAUUAAUAAGAACAGAUAAAUAUUCAGUCUCUAAAACUCUCUAUCUAAAACUCUCUAAUUACAACGAGUACCAUUUUAGUGGUUGGUGAUGUGGUAAACACAGUGAUGAUGCAUUAACUAAUAUAUUGAUUAGUCAUAAUGAUAUGAGGAUAUGCAAUAUAUUAUUUUGACCAUAUAGACAUGUGUCGUAGAUUUUUUUGCAAUUAUACACGCAAAAAAAAAAUCAAAUAUAAAACAAGUUUAUUCACAAUUUUGGAAAGUCAUUUAAUAAUAAAAUAAAUCCCAAGACCAGAUGUUAUAUAAAUAGAACCUCUCUUCCAACCCAAAUCAUAAGCAAAAAACAGCAUUUUUUUUUCUUUGUAACUGAACAGCAUUUUAGUUUCUCAGCACAUUUAACAUACAAAAAUACUAUGGGCGUCACAAAGACUCAGCUGGCUUUUCUUGUUUUAGUAGUAUUUGUAACUUUUCUCUCCAACCACAAUGUUUUGGCUGCAGAGCUGGAAAAGUUUUCAUAUGACCACUGCAGAGUAUUGUGUUCGGAUACCUACGCAUGGCAUGAAUGUUGGACUGACUGCAUAACUGCUGGCUAUCACGGUGCUGGGGAGUGUGCUUCUCCUUCUCCUAAUGUUCCUAAGAAAUGUUGUUGUCAAACUUAACAAUAUUGCCAUCAAACUCAUUCCUUAUGCAGCAAUUCGAGUUUUGUAUCAUGGAAUAAAAACUAUUUAUCUUUGACUUAUUUUGCUUACAAGCAAUAACUAUCAGAAUAUUUAUACAUAAUAAGAAAAAUAUUAUUAAAUAAUAUUUUAAAUAUUCAAAAA